rnacentral:rRNA from 1 species
UCUUACGGCCAUAUCAGCCUGGGUACGCCCGAUCUCGUCUGAUCUCGGAAGCUAAGCAGGGUCGGGCCUGGUUAGUACUUGGAUGGGAGACCGCCUGGGAAUACCAGGUGCUGUAAGCA